UUAUUCAGGUUAGUUAUUUGUAUGUGGUUGUUGUGUACAAGAAAUGUUAUAAAAGUGAGUUGACAUACACAUUUUAUUAGAGCAGCUGCCGAUGUAGCAUUUGUGUUCAUCAAACUUAAAUAUUUAAAAAUUAUUGUAAGUUGGCAUUAUCCUUUUUUCACUGGCGGGGACUUUCCCACGCAGGUGCAGCAUUUUUCUCGGCUGUUGUUCGCUGCAGCGGAUCUGGAUUUCAGGGACUGGUUAACACGGACCCAUCUGCCUCUGUGGAGAAAAGGAGAGAAGUGGUCCUGAGAUGCCUGAUUGAGUAUGUGGGGGAGAGACAGGAAGACCUCAUCAGUGUCCACCACAGUCAUGAUGAAACAGAGGUGCACGCUGAGCUUGGCAGUUGCCCACUGAAAAUUUACAUAUGCCAUCAGCCCGACAUGAUUGGGAUCAUCAUAGAAGGACAGCCUGUGGUCAGAGGUGUGCCAAACCUGUCGAAAGCAUGCUGCCUCCUGUUUGGACUUACCUAUGCCCUCGACCUCAAGUAUCCCUCAAAAAUGGUGUAUACCUUUGUA